AACUCUAAGCGAUGGAUCACUCGGCUCGUGCGUCGAUGAAGAACGCAGCGAAAUGCG
rnacentral:rRNA from 1 species